rnacentral:rRNA from 1 species
UACGUAGGGGGCAAGCGUUGUCCGGAUUUAUUGGGCGUAAAGAGCGUGUAGGCGGUUUGGUAGGUCCGCUGUGAAAAACUCGAGGCUCAACCUCGAGACGCCGGUGGAAACCAUCAGACUAGAGUCCGGAAGAGGAGAGUGGAAUUCCUGGUGUAGCGGUGAAAUGCGCAGAUAUCAGGAGGAACACCGGUGGCGAAGGCGGGUCUCUGGGCCGAUAUUGACGCUGAGGAGCGAAAGCGUGGGGAGCGAACAGG